UACAGAGGUCUCAAGCGUUGUUCGGAUUCAUUGGGCGUAAAGGGUGCGUAGGCGGCGCGGUAAGUCGGGUGUGAAAUUUCGAGGCUUAACUUCGAAACUGCAUUCGAUACUGCCGUGCUAGAGGACUGGAGAGGAGACUGGAAUUUACGGUGUAGCGGUGAAAUGCGUAGAUAUCGUAAGGAAGACCAGUGGCGAAGGCGGGUCUCUGGACAGUUCCUGACGCUGAGGUGCGAAAGCGUGGGGAGCAAACAGG
rnacentral:rRNA from 1 species